AGGGUGUAAACGCUGCAGACUUGGUGUUGGAGGCCCUUUGGGGGCAUUCAGUGCCGGAGAGAAGUUGUUAAGUCUGCUACUUGGGGAGUACGUCCGCAAGGAUGAAACUUAAAGGAAUUGGCGGGGGAGCACCGCAACGGGAGGAGCGUGCGGUUUAAUUGGAUUCAACACCGUAAAACUCACCAGGGAAGACUGUUACAUGAAGGCCGAGAUGAAGACUCUGCUAGAUUUUCAGAGAGGUGGUGCAUGGCGUAGACGUCU
rnacentral:rRNA from 1 species